rnacentral:rRNA from 1 species
AUUGAACGCUGGCGGCAGGCUUAACACAUGCAAGUCGAACGAGCGGCGGACGGGUGAGUAAUGUAUGGGGAUCUGCCUGAUGGCGGGGGCUAACUACUGGAAACGGUAGCUAAUACCGCAUACCAUCAGAUGAACACAUAUGGGAUUAGCUUGUGGGUGAGGUAACGGCUCACCUAGGCGCCGAUCCCUAGCUGGUCUGAGAGGAUGAUCAGCCACACUGGGACUGAGACACGGCCCAGACUCCUACGGGAGGCAGCAGUGGGGAAUAUUGCACAAUGGUCGCAAGUCUGAUGCAGCCAUGCCGCGUGGAUGAAGAAGGCCUUCGGGUUGUAAAGUACUUUCAGUCGGGAGGCGUUACCGACAGAAGAAGCACCGGCUAACUCCGUGCCAGCAGCCGCGGUAAUUC